AGCGGCGCGGCGAAACAAAGAUGGCCGACAUCCAGCCUUGUCUGGAUAUAAACGACUUACUGCGCAUGUGCAGGCUUGUCCCCUUGCUAGGGCUCCCUCUAGUGGUGAACAGCGGUACUGCACAUGUGCAGUUUAUGCACCAGGUGUUAGUUGACCGUUAAUAUGCUAAUGAGGUGAUUCAUUCUCCGCCAAUCCCUGGAGGACAAGUAGUGGGGUGAUCCAAGCCCCACCAAUCCCUGAGAGAUAAUUAGCAUACUGUUGUCUAUAUAAGCCGAGCGAUUUUGCUGCUCGGGGUCCCUGUUCAGAAGAGCUGUAACACUGAGAAGAGCUGUAACACUAAGAAGAGCUGUAACACAGUAAAGGCUUGCUCGCAGAAGAAUCCUGUUGCCGCGCGUCGUUCUUGCUGGUGGGACAUUGGGCGCGCGACAGGACACCUAGGCUAAUUCCCCAGCUUAGCUUUGUGAAUGGCACUGUAGUAGGUGCAUAUGAACAUGUAUGCUGGUGUGUGCAGAGACCAGAGGACACCUCUAGUAUUAUUUUUCUGGAGUUCUACAUUGUAGUUUUAGUUGAGACCUCUAGUAGGCCUGUGGCUCGCCGAGAGUCUCUACUGCAUGGCACAGAACCCGAGGGCUCCACUGUGUCAGCAGCACUGAGCUCAUGAGCUGCUCCGUCACCCUUAGGUGUGGAUGAGCAGACUCAGGUUCUUGUGCUUGCACAGCACACACUUCACCAACUGAGCUAGCCACGCCCCGAGUCCAGGGCUGGGAUGGCGCAGAAUCUGAAGAUUGCUUUUGAUAAGGGAUAUUCUCACUCUAUGAAUUCUUCCACUCUGCCAUUGGGUCUUUUGAACUACAUUUCUAGGAUGGCCAAGUAAAGAAUCUUUGAAGGUCAAACAUUAACCAACACAAGUAAAAGCCAGAAGAUGAGCAGCUUCUUGAGGAAAUUUUCCAGAGAGCAUUUGUCUCAGUGAGCAAGGUAGUCCAUGAGGAUUCCAAGUCAGCAGUGUCGGGGACUCUGCCUCUGCCUAAAGCAGAGCCUGAAGGAUACAAUCUCCGUUCAGGGAGGAACCUGAACAUAUGACCUCCUGUCUUUCCUUUGUCCUGAGAACAAGAGAGCCUGAAAGCUCUCCUGAGACUCGUAGCCAGCCAUCUUUCUUAGUCUUGCAGUCCCAGAGUCCAAAAAAAACUCAACCCAAGAAAAACAUUUACAGCGAAGCUUAAUUUGUAGUUUCCAGGCGACUGGCAGGAACAAACACGAGUCUAUUAUGAAGGUUCCGUUUUCAACAGCAGAUUCAGGACUCGCCAUUGAUAGAUUCUAAAGAAGCUAGCGCAUGUGGCUGAAAUCAGAAAACGUGAAAGGAAAUAAUGUACCGUGUGCAGGUCCUGGCAAGAACGAGACGACAGACAGACGAGGAAGCAGCAGCUAUUGGAAUGAGGAGGCAGCGGGUAUAAAAUAAGUCUGUUAACUAUUUUGAAAAAAAAUAAGCCCAAAAUUAAAAAUAUACAGAAAGCAUGACCAGAAGAUUUGAUAGGCUCAAGGAAAAACAACAACAACAACAACAACAACAAAAAAAAAAAACAAAACAAAACCCCAAAACAACAACAAAAUAUGCACCGGAAUUACAUAACAAGAUGGCUUAUCUGUGAAGAACACUGGCUGCAGUUCCAGAGGAACUGGGUUUGAUUCCCAGUACCCACAUGGCAGCUCACAACCAUAUAUUACUCAGUUAGGGGGAGUCCAUCCUCCCCCUCUUGCCUCCACUGCUACCAGGCACACAAGCGGUACACAGACAUGCAGGUAGGCAAAACACUGACACAUAUUCUAUUUAAAAACCAGCAGCACAACACAUGGACCUAACAGCAGAACAACCACAACAGGAGGGUAGAUGAGGAAGGACAGGUCCAGGAAAUUUUCAGAACACCGCCCAGAAAAUAGGAGAGGGUUUAUAUAACACGAGAGUUUGUGAGAACCAUCUGAUUGCAACUCUAUGCAGACAGGGAGGAAGGGAAGGAGUAAUUCAAGUAAUAACUGAGAACACGGAAGGAAAACAUUGAAGGUGAGCUCAUGCCGGAGUUUAAGGCCAAAGAGAUCUGACACCUCUCUGGCUUCUGUUGGUACCAGGUUAUGCACAAGGUAUAGACAUACGUGCAGGCAACACAUGCAUGCACGCAAGCAUGCAUACAUGUUGCAUAACUUCUUAACAGAAGAGGAAACCUGUGAAAACACGGAGAAUAACAAACAUAAAAGUAGAUGAGAACAUAACAAAAUAAAAUACGGAAGAAUCAAGACCUUAAAAAAAAAACCCACAGAAACAAGGGGUUGGAGCGAAUGUUCAAUAUAUUGAAAUUUUAAGCUAGUAGAGAUUGUUGUAGAUUCGGAUUGAUGCUUGCAUGAGAAUCCUGCUGAGGCGUCCUGCCCAAGCUGUUUCUAAUUGGUAAAUAAAGUUGCUAUUGGCCAAUGGCUGGGCAGGCGGACAGAGGCAGGACUUUAGAAUUCAUGGGCAAGGGGACAGAGGAAGAACAAUGUAGACUCGCCAUUGCCAGGAAAGAAGGUUCAGGAUUGAGCGCUGUAGAAGACAGCGUACAAUCUUGUAAGAGCCGGAAGAGUGGCCCCAGGGGCCAACGACCUCCCCCCUGUUUGGGUCUGGGAUAGCAAAGUUGGAAUAAAGAUUUUAGUAAAUAAUAAUUCAAAGCAGAGAGGAGGCGUUAGCUAUGUGGAAGUCAGGGAGUGACCCAGCCAUUACAUUGUUUAAGGCAUAUUAAAAUAGAAGGCUGUG